rnacentral:lncRNA from 1 species
AUGUGUCCUCCAUUCAUUCACCCAGCAAUCAUGUGUCCUCCAUUCAUUCACCCAGCAAUCAUGUGUCCUCCGUUCAUUCACCCAACAAUCACGUGUCCUCCGUUCAUUCACCCAGCAAUCACAUGUCCUCCAUUUAUUCACCCAACAAUCACAUGUCCUCCGUUUAUUCACCCAGCAAUCACAUGUCCUCCAUUCAUUUACCCAGCAAUCACAUGUCCUCCAUUCAUUCACCCAGCAGUCACAUGUCCAGCACCUACCUCGAGCCAGGUGCUACUUAGAGCCUUGUUCAGCAGUGAACAAAAGAGGCUGAGUCCCUUCAUCAAGGAGUUUGUAGACUAGAUGAGAAGACUAGAUGAGAAGACUAAUUGUAGACUAGAAGAGAUGACAGGCAAACAGGCAGUUGGAGCACAGUGUGGGGAAUGUUACAGUAGGGUAAGUAAGGGGAGCUGUCGGGGGGGUGGCCCCAGUGGUAACAAAAACUUAAGGCUGCAAAGAUUAAUCUAUUUAGAGUGAGUGGCAGAAUCAAAGGCCCAAAGACAACAAGGAGCCUGGCUUUUUGGAAAGUAAAAGUGGAGCUGUGUGGCUGGAGCGAAGGGAGGUGACGGGGAGGUGACGAAGAAGAGAAAAGACCUGAGGUUGGAGAGGUAAGUAAGGGCCGAUCACAGGGAGCAGAGCCUGCCCCUCCAGUCUCACCCAACCUGCCUAGAUUCUGUGUUUUAUCCUGGAGAAGGGAGGGAGUUGGAAACAAGAAGGCCAGUUACAAGAGAGUAGUGACUGUGUAAGUGAAAAGAAACAAAUGGAGUUGAGAGAUUUAUAGGCGGGAUAAUGGACAGGCCUUGUUAAUUGAUUGGAUAAAGAAGAAGUAAAGGGAGACUCUCAAGUUUCUAGCGUGGGCAACUGGGUCAAGGGAGAUGCCGUUCACUGAAAUAGGAAACAGGAGGAAGGACUAGUUUAUGGGGGAAGAUGAAGAGCUUAUUUUGAGCAUGUGGAUGUUGAGGGGCCUGUGGGGAAUGUAAAUGGGGAAUGGCAGCAGACAGCUGGAUUUAUGUGUCUGGAGCCUGGGAGAGAGGUCUGGACUGGCGGCACUGGAUGAUUGAUUUCCAGCUUUAGAUGAUAAUGGAAGCCUCAGAAUCAUUGGGAUGAGCCAGAGGAGAGGGAAGAGUAAGAAGAGAACAAAAUGAGGGCUAGACCAGGAGCGAAUACAGCCACUUAGGGAUGAGCAGAAGCUGAAGAACUCACAAAGGGAGAGGAGCCCACACAGGACACUGGGAGGAGGGACUGGGAAAGUAGGAGUGAAAGGAGUUAAAGAGCAGGAUGUCCUGAAGUCAAGGGAUGAAAAGCACAUCAAAGGAGGAACAAUAAGCAACUUGGGAAGCUACUGAGAGGUCAAGGAAGAAAAGACUCAAGGCAGUCACUGGAUCAAGCCACAGGAAGGUUUUAGUGACCUUGCUAAGUCUGACUCCAACAAGUGCUGGGUGGAUGCAGAAAGGAACGGAGGAAAACAGCGUCACAGAGGCCAUGAAUGCGAGCUACUCUUCAAAGAUUGCAGUUGAGAAAGAAUGACAGAUGGAGGGGCAGGUGAGGUCAAGGAAAGUUCUUAAUUACAUUGUCAUUUUAAAAAAUUGAAGUAAAUUGUAUUUGUUUAUAUGGUGAUGGGUAGGAGGCUGUAGAAGAAAGGCUGAAGGAACAGGGAGAGUGAAUAACUGAUAGAAGCGGAGUUUCUGAAAAGGCAAGACACCAUGGAAGGCAUUGGCCUUGGACAGAAAUGAUAAGAAUAGUAACAGCAAUAUUAAUAAUUAAAGAAAGUUUCUCGUGCCAGGCACCAUGUACCUUUUCCAUUAUGUCUUUUUGUUUGUUUGUUUGAGACAAGGUCUUGCUCAGUUGUCCAGGUUGGAGUGCAGUGGUACAAUCAC